rnacentral:rRNA from 1 species
AACGAACGCUGGCGGCAUGCCUAACACAUGCAAGUCGAACGAGACCUUCGGGUCUAGUGGCGCACGGGUGCGUAACGCGUGGGAAUCUGCCCUCAGGUACGGAAUAACUCAGGGAAACUUGAGCUAAUACCGUAUAAUGACUUCGGUCCAAAGAUUUAUCGCCUGGGGAUGAGCCCGCGUCGGAUUAGCUAGUUGGUGAGGUAAAGGCUCACCAAGGCGACGAUCCGUAGCUGGUCUGAGAGGAUGAUCAGCCACACUGGGACUGAGACACGGCCCAGACUCCUACGGGAGGCAGCAGUGGGGAAUAUUGGACAAUGGGCGCAAGCCUGAUCCAGCAAUGCCGCGUGAGUGAUGAAGGCCUUAGGGUUGUAAAGCUCUUUUACCCGGGAAGAUAAUGACUGUACCGGGAGAAUAAGCCCCGGCUAACUCCGUGCCAGCAGCCGCGGUAAUACGGAGGGGCUAGCGUUGUUCGGAAUUACUGGCGUAAAGCGCACGUAGC